rnacentral:tRNA from 1 species
GUAAGGGUCUUGCACAGUUUAUGUCAAUAGCUCACAGACUUUAUAUGUAUCUCUGUCACAGGAGGUUGGUGGCACCUUAAUUGGGAGGACCAGCCCGUGGUUAUGCCUGGAGGGGAAUCGGUGGAAUGGUAUCAAACAGAUGGUUUGAUGCCAUUCCAUUUGCUCCGUUCCAGCCAUUAUUAUGAACCGUUCUCCCCUCAGCAGCCUCCACUGAUCUGUGUUUUUUCAGACAAUCAACUGUUUCUUCAUCCUUUACUACCUGCUGGAGAUGGCGCUGAAGGUGGUAGCAUUUGUCUGGACAGGAUAUGUGUCCUAUGGGAGUAACGUAUUUGAUGGAUCUCUCACAGUUCUUUCACUGGGCCUACCGAUAUCCAUAUUUGCUACUUACCGUCUGCCAUUUUCCUAUUGGUAAGAUUUUUCUCCCCACUUUGUUUGGGAUCUUUCAAUAUACUAACUCACUUAGGACAACCCUAAAUACAUCUAUCACAUAUUUUCUCAAAAGGUGGGCUCAUCUGGGAUUUAAACCCAGGACUACUCACACCCUAAGCGAGAAGCAUACCCUUAAACCAACAAGCCUGCUUAGGGAAACCCACCCUAUCGUUAUAAUUUUCCCAUCCCC